AACGAACGCUGGCGGCAUGCCUAACACAUGCAAGUCGAACGAGACCUUCGGGUCUAGUGGCGCACGGGUGCGUAACGCGUGGGAAUCUGCCCUUGGGUCUGGAAUAACAGUUAGAAAUGACUGCUAAUACCGGAUGAUGACUUCGGUCCAAAGAUUUAUCGCCCAGGGAUGAGCCCGCGUCGGAUUAGCUAGUUGGUGAGGUAAAAGCUCACCAAGGCGACGAUCCGUAGCUGGUCUGAGAGGAUGAUCAGCCACACUGGGACUGAGACACGGCCCAGACUCCUACGGGAGGCAGCAGUGGGGAAUAUUGGACAAUGGGCGAAAGCCUGAUCCAGCAAUGCCGCGUGAGUGAUGAAGGCCUUAGGGUUGUAAAGCUCUUUUACCCGGGAUGAUAAUGACAGUACCGGGAGAAUAAGC
rnacentral:rRNA from 1 species